CUCUCUUUCUGUGUACAGGGCUUUCUACGCUUGAGCUUUGUUCCUUUCUCUCUGUCCUUUGAUUCAGGUUAUCUGGAGAUGGUUCUCUCUUUAUACCAGGGUACAAUGUGAGGGCUGGUCUACGUGAAAGUGAGGAUUGCAGGAGGUCCUACUUUGCGAAGUUGACAUCUUUUGAUUGCUGACAUGGAGGACGAGAAUGGCCUUGAGCUUAGCCUUGGUCUAGGUUGCGGAGGGUCAUCUGCAAAAUCCAAAGGUAAAAAUGGCUGCUCUUCAGAUGCUAGGACAGAAGAAGGUGAUAGAGGUAACAAAUUGGUAGAUGAUUUCAAAAGCUUUCUUCAUGCUGGUACCCAGAAGCAGGAUUCAAGUACUGGACCUCAAAUAAGUGAUUCAGUGAAACCUCAAGAGAACUUCUAUAAUGACCUGUCCAAGGCCAAUGCUAAUGCAGAUGCUUCAAUAAACUUGAAUAAUAGGGGGCUUUGGGUUUUGAGCAGCAAAAUACCUGCUGAAAUUGAAGAAGAAAAAAGGCCAGAGGCAGGUAAAAAACGUAAACCAUUAUUUGAUGAGAUAAAUAAUCAUAGGAAGCAUGAGAGAGAUGCUCAUCAUUUUGAUGUACAUGACAAGAAAGCGUCACAUA
rnacentral:misc_RNA from 1 species